ensembl:lncRNA
AUGGUGGGUGUCAGGCUCAGCCGAGUGACUCUCGCCUUCACUUUAGUCCUGUGUACUUGGGUCAAGAGUUCAACCUGUUUUGGUCUGCAUUGGUUGGACAAGAACGGUCAGGACACAGGAGUGGGAGGAAGAAGAGGAAAGUUUGUCUUUGACAGUAAAGACCUUGGACCUCAGUUAAAGUCUUCCUCUGCCACAGGAAAGCUGCUGAAAAUCAUCCUGGGGAUGUGGGGGCAGACAUCAGAGAAUGAGGCUUCCCCAAAGAAAGAAGCAGCAUGGAAGCAGUUAAAACCUUCCCUGCACUGUGGUCAGAAUGAGAUGGUGUUUAGAGCUACUGGAUACAGAGCUGCUGAAAUACAGCUAGAUAUGGGUGCCGCUGCCCCCCUCCCUCUGAACCAUUUGCCUGAAACAUGUGGCUACACAAGGAAACAUGGUGUUGGCUUUGUCUUGGUUGUUCCCUACGAUGGCUGUAACGUGACUCAAGAGAAUGGAAAUUAUGUGUUGAAGAUGAGAUGGCUUAAUGCUUCAGUUGAGUUCAUCUGCUCAAUGACAAGUUCCUCUAAAUUUCUGGAUCUGAACGAGCUCCAGUCAUCUCAAGAGUCAGAGCCACUCCCAGUGAGGAUUUUGAGACACAAUCGUCACAGACGGGCUGCAACUGGUGGACUCUCUUCUUAUCCCCACAGUUUUUACUAUAACUAUGCGUGUUUACUUCGCUAUUACAUGUAUAUGAUGAGCAUGGCACACUUCUCCAACACCCAGACCACUACCACCACUGCUCCACCGGCACAGACUACUACAGCCAAACCACUUGGAGAUGACCGACAAAUUGUAGUUUACUAUCCUCAGUUUUUUCCUUAUUACUACCCAGUUGGACAAAAACCAGUGGAUUUUCUGCCAUCAUCUGACUGUGAUUCAUCUUCAAGCACUGGACAAAGGCCACAAUGUUCCCAAGGCCCACAAGAGAAAUGGCCCUUAAGCAGACCUACCCAUCUUGACAAUCCUUUGCUGCUCAAGCAAAUUCUUCAGCGGUACUAUGGACUAGAUCCAGAUCAAGCACUUCCUCAAACUACCUCUAGUGGUAAGCCACAUGACCCCACACCCCAAAACACAUCUCCAACCCCUGCAACUGUAACGCGAACUCCAUGUCCUAAUCAAGAAAGACCCAUUGGUGCCAGCUGUCUUGGCGAAGUGAGCACGUACAUCCCCUACGAGCACCUCUCUUUCCCACCCCACAUCUCAUAUGAGAAUGACAAGCCUGUAGGAGACAAACAGAAUAUCCCUGAACAAAGUUACAACCGCCAUGUUGGACUGCAGCCUCGUGUACACCCGUAUCAAUGGGCUGGGGACUGGUGGCACUGAUACCGCCAGCAAUUUGCAAGUACUUCCUGAAGAUAGUGUAGCUUCUAACUGGCUUUGGGGGGGGGGGGAAAUGAGGCAGUUAGAAUGUGGUGUACUUGUGAAACUGCUGAAUUGAGCAAUGUUUACAAUAAAACUCUUGGGACUGAUUCUGUGUGUGUUCAUAAAUUCUGUUGUGACUUGUAGUUCAAGUUUCCCUUGUCUGGCCAGAUGUAGACUCUUGGUGCACAGUCCUCAUGGCGCUCCUAACUAAAGGACUCUUGACGUAAGAAUAAUUCAGGAAGUUUGAGAGUGAGGAGACAGAAACAUGAUCUUGGUUAGUAGGUGUAGUUGACCUGUUGGGAGGUGUUGACAUCUUCUAAAAGUUGUAUUUUUUUUUUUAUCAAAACCAAAGUGUGUCUGGUGAAAUCAACCUGUUUAAUCCAUUUGACAUUGAGGGUGAGCGCUGAAUUGGCUUUUGGUUGCAAUGAUUACUGGCCUGCUUGGAGAAGUUAUCAGGAUAAGCAAAAGCCUGAGGGAUCACAGGUCGAGGGCAGCGGCAGCUUGAGGCGUCGCUCCCUCCUGUUAUGUAGUGAUGGGACGAGCGACACUGGUGCGUCAGCACUGUCCCGAGAGCUCUAGAGUGAAACCCCGUAUCGGCGCGUGUAUCGCUUUAAGAACCACGUGACCGAUACAGGAACUGGAUCGUUUGGAUGUGCUGCGCCAAAGUGUGUUUAUAAGGAAACAAACUGCAUCAACGUGUCGCGGGUUUGUUGGAUGGAGUUUUGCAGUUGCGUGAUUAAGGAUCGUUCUAAGAAAUUUCCCCCCAGUGUGGAAUAAUUUUGAUCUUGUGACGCCAAACAAGGUAAAUCUUUUUCUCCUCUGAGCAUUGUUUACUGUUAUACUAUGUUUUUACGGUGGCACGUUGCACUCACUUUAUCAGUUUAUCAAGUGCAUAUGAUAGUUAAAGAGCCUUACAGUUGCUUUAUUCAUUUUAUCUCGUAAUUACCAGACCUGAUCUCGAAAUCAUGACAUAGGGUGUCUAUUUUUUUAACAAGUGAAUGCAAUGCGCCACCUUAGUUUUUACUCUGUUCUGGUAAGAGGUUUGAAUUGUUUUCAGAUAAAUUAACUUUUUAUGUUAUUGUAGGUGAAGUGUCGGCUCUGCUCCACAGAGCUGUCUUACAUCAAUAAGAGCACUUCGUCAAUGCUGCGGCAUUAUAGAGCUCGGCAUGGCAAUGAAGAAUUGGCAGAUACUCGUGAGAGAACCCCAGGUAUGUUGAAAUUGUCUCUAAAAAUUGUGAUUAAAAAAAAAAAAAAAAAAACCAUGCAUGCAAACAGACAGGCCCCAGGCCUGGUAUGGAACCUCCAGCCCUUUUGCUGUGAGGCGACAGUGCUAACCAUUGUGUCGCCCUAUGGCUAUUUGAUAUUGUUUGUAAAAAUUACAGUCCUUUUAUUAAGCUUUUGACAAAAUAUUUCCUUUUUCACUUGCAGUUCCUAACAAGCAAGCAGUGGAUGAGGCAGUGGUCAACAUGAUCAUCAAAGACUGUCAGCCUCUCAGCUUUGUUGAAAAUGAGGGAUUCAGGGAGCCUCUAAAGCUUAUUAUACCCUCGAAUGCUCUACCAAGCAGGAAGGCAUGUUUAAGAAAUGUUAUAUUUUUGUACUAACUAUAUAACUAUAUUUUAUUGGUGUAACAGUAUUUGUAUGGUUAUUUUCAGACCAUCAAGGACUUGGUGAGCCAGAGAUGAGGAGGAAAAGAAGAAAACAAAAAAGGACCUCGAGAGCGCCGUUGCUGUUACUUUAACAGCUGAUAUGUGGACGUCUAUGAAUAUGGAGGCAUAUCUAGCUGUUACUGGCCACUAUGUGGACAAAGAAAGCUAUGAACUCCAUUCAUCAGUCUUGGGAGUGCAGCAUUUUCCUCAGAAACGCACUGCAGAAAACAUUGCUACGGUUAAAAGGAGCCUCAUGGAGGAGUAGGGUUAGGGAAAGGUCAGGAGUCUUGUCACUGAUGCAGCAGCAAACACGACUUCAUGUGCUCGAAUGCUGCAAAUACGGCAUACCAUUUGUAUCGCCCAUUCCAUGGAUUUAAUUGUGAGAAAAUCAUGUGAUUAAAUCAUGUGAUCAAAUCCAACAAUACGCAAAUACGCAAAAUACGCAACAAAACACAACACAUUGUGACAUACUUUGGAUCGAGCGUGACUGCUAAAGAGAAGCUCACUCAAAUACAGCAACAGCUGGGAACACCGGUCCAUAAAUGAAUAAACGAGGUGCCAACACGAUGGAACAGUACCUACCAAAUGUUUGAAAGAAUGACUGAGCAGAAGGAGGCAGUCUGGGUGUCACUGGCCUCAUUAAAAACUGACAUCACUCCAGAAGAAUGUCAAAUCAUUGAAGAGAUGCUCAGGGUUCUUGCUCCUUCUGACCAAGCCACAAGAGAACUGUCUGAGGAAAAAAGGGUCUCUGGGUCGAAGGUCAUUCCCUUGAUGAGGAUGCUCCACAUUGAGCUUCAACGUCAGGCCACAACGGUGACAAAAACAGCUGCUCAACAACUGGCUGAAAACCUGAGAAAGCGGCUAACUGACGCUAUUUGCAGCCUGGAAUCACUCAGUGUGAUGACACUGGCAACACUGUUGGAUCCCAGAGUCAAACCAAUUGGAUUUGCUAGUCACCAAAAGGCAAGUGAAGCGGUGAAGAGACUGAAGUCGGAGUGUGUGCAAGAAAUGAGGAGCCAAGAGCCUGACCCAACAGAAGAAGAGCCUAGCUCUUCACGUGGGUCAGAACCCAGUUCUG